GGUAACAGGAUGUGCUUGCACAUCGCUGACGAGUGGCGGACGGGUGCGUAAUGCUUGGGAACUUGCCUUUGCGAGGGGGAUAACAGUUGGAAACGACUGCUAAUACCGCAUAAUGUCUUCGGACCAAACGGGGCUUAGGCUCCGGCGCAAAGAGAGGCCCAAGUGAGAUUAGCUAGUUGGUAAGGUAACGGCUUACCAAGGCGACGAUCUCUAGCUGUUCUGAGAGGAAGAUCAGCCACACUGGGACUGAGACACGGCCCAGACUCCUACGGGAGGCAGCAGUGGGGAAUAUUGCACAAUGGGGGAAACCCUGAUGCAGCCAUGCCGCGUGUGUGAAGAAGGCCUUCGGGUUGUAAAGCACUUUCAGUUGUGAGGAAAAGUUAGUAGUUAAUACCUGCUAGCCGUGACGUUAACAACAGAAGAAGCACCGGCUAACUCCGUGCCAGCAGCCGCGGUAAUACGGAGGGUGCGAGCGUUAAUCGGAAUUACUGGGCGUAAAGCGCACGCAGGCGGUUUGUUAAGCUAGAUGUGAAAGCCCCGGGCUCAACCUGGGAUGGUCAUUUAGAACUGGCAGACUAGAGUCUUGGAGAGGGGAGUGGAAUUCCAGGUGUAGCGGUGAAAUGCGUAGAUAUCUGGAGGAACGUCAGUGGCGAAGGCGACUCCCUGGCCAAAGACUGACGCUCAUGUGCGAAAGUGUGGGUAGCGAACAGGAUUAGAUACCCUGGUAGUCCACACCGUAAACGCUGUCUACUAGCUGUGUGUGCCUUUAAGCGUGCGUAGCGAAGCUAACGCGCUAAGUAGACCGCCUGGGGAGUACGGCCGCAAGGUUAAAACUCA
rnacentral:rRNA from 1 species